rnacentral:rRNA from 1 species
AGAGUUUGAUCAUGGCUCAGGAUGAACGCUGGCGGUAUGCUUAACACAUGCAAGUCGAACGAACCCUUCGGGGUGAGUGGCGGACGGGUGAGUAACGCGUGAGGAACUACCUUUAGUUCGGGGACAACAGUUGGAAACGGCUGCUAAUACCGGAUGAGCCGAGAGGUAAAAGAUUUAUUGACUAAAGAAGUACUCGCGUCUGAUUAGCUAGUUGGUGAGGUAAGAGCUUACCAAGGCAACGAUCAGUAGCUGUUCUGAGAGGAAGAUCAGCCACACUGGGACUGAGACACGGCCCAGACUCCUACGGGAGGCAGCAGUGGGGAAUUUUCCGCAAUGGGCGAAAGCCUGACGGAGCAAUACCGCGUGUGGGAGGAAGGCCCUUGGGUCGUAAACCACUUUUCUUAGGGAAGAAGUUCUGACGGUACCUAAGGAAUAAGCCUCGGCUAACUCCGUGCCAGCAGCCGCGGUAAUACGGAGGAGGCAAGCGUUAUCCGGAAUUAUUGGGCGUAAAGAGUCCGUAGGUGGUUUUUCAAGCCUGCUGUCAAAGACAGAAGCUCAACUUCUGAGAGGCAGUGGAAACUGAGAGACUAGAGAAUGGUAGGGGUAGAGGGAAUUCCCAGUGUAGCGGUGAAAUGCGUAGAGAUUGGGAAGAACACCGGUGGCGAAAGCGCUCUACUGGGCCAUAACUGACACUGAGGGACGAAAGCUAGGGUAGCGAAAGGGAUUAGAUACCCCUGUAGUCCUAGCCGUAAACGAUGGGUACUAGGCGUAGCUUGUAUCGACCCGAGCUGUGCCGAAGCAAACGCGUUAAGUACCCCGCCUGGGGAGUACGCACGCAAGUGUGAAACUCAAAGGAAUUGACGGGGGCCCGCACAAGCGGUGGAGUAUGUGGUUUAAUUCGAUGCAACGCGAAGAACCUUACCAAGGCUUGACAUCCCGCGAAUCUUUCAAANAUGAAANAGUGCCUUAGGGAACNCGNAAACAGGUGGU